CAAAAUCUCAGGUUACUUUGCUAAAGAGUUCUCAGCCCUAUAGUUUCUGCCCUUGUCUCUGCCUCCAGCUCCUUAAGAGCCACCCAGCCCCAGCGAUUGGAUUGGGCAGCCCGUCUUGACACACCACUGUGCUGAGUGCUUGAGGACGUGUUUCAACAGAUGGUUGGGGUUAGUGUGUGUCAUCACACUCGAGUGGGGAUUAGGGGAGAGAGGCAGCCUCGCUGGAGCUGUGUGGUCUUCCCCAAGUGCGAGCCGCAAGCGAAAGAAGAACUACCUAGCUUUGGGGCAGAAGAGGGCGGAAUCCUUCCCAGCGGCUCAGAGGGAAAAACAAACCCCCACAGUUUGUUCAGAUCUUCACACUAACUCUCACAUACCUGUUGGGCUUAUGAAUUAUUGGUCUCCUACUUGUGAAAGAAAUCUAACACUGCCC
rnacentral:lncRNA from 1 species